AAAUUAUUUAUAUUCUUUUUUAAAAUUUUAUAAUUUUAAUAUUUGGUCCUUUCGUACUAAAAUAUUAUAAUUUAUUAAAGAUAGAAACCAACCUGGCUUACGCCGGUCUGAACUCAGAUCAUGUAAGAAUUUAAAAGUCGAACAGACUUUAUGUUUAAGCGGCUACACCUAAAUAUGUAUCUUAAUCCAACAUCGAGGUCGCAAACUUUUUUGUCGAUAUGAACUCUCAAAAAAAAUUACGCUGUUAUCCCUAAAGUAACUUAAUCUUAUAAUCACUAAUAAUGGAUCAAUUAUUCAUAAAUUAAUGAUUUAAUAAAUAAUUAAAAGUUCAUUAAAUUUUAACAUCACCCCAACAAAAUAUUUACAAUUAUAAAAAUAAAAUUAAUCCAAAAAACUUGAAUAAUUAUAAAUAUAAAGAUUUAUAGGGUCUUCUCGUCUUUUAAUAAAAUUUUAGCUUUUUAACUAAAAUAUAAAAUUCUAAAAUAAUUUUAUAUGAAACAGCUUAUACUUCG
rnacentral:rRNA from 1 species